AUUGAACGCUGGCGGCGUGCCUAACACAUGCAAGUCGAGCGGUAACAGGCGUAGCAAUACGUGCUGACGAGCGGCGGACGGGUGAGUAACGCUUGGGAAUCUACCCAGUAGUGGGGAAUAACUAGCCGAAAGGUUAGCUAAUACCGCAUACGUCUCUUCUUCAUAUCGGGGAAGAGGGAAAGCGGGGGACCGUAAGGCCUCGCGCUGUUGGAUGAGCCCAAGUCGGAUUAGCUAGUUGGCGGGGUAACGGCCCACCAAGGCGACGAUCCGUAGCUGGUCUGAGAGGACGACCAGCCACACUGGGACUGAGACACGGCCCAGACUCCUACGGGAGGCAGCAGUGGGGAAUAUUGGACAGUGGGGGAAACCCUGAUUCAGCGACGCCGCGUGUGUGAAGAAGGCCUGCGGGUUGUAAAGCACUUUUAGUGGGGACGAAAAGUUUCGGACGAAUAAUCCGGGAUCUUGACUUAACCCAAAGAAAAAGCACCGGCUAACUCUGUGCCAGCCGCCGCGGUAACAC
rnacentral:rRNA from 1 species